rnacentral:SRP_RNA from 1 species
UGACAGGCUAGGCUGGGAGUUUAGCGCUCUCCUGUAACUGUAAACACGCUUUAGACAGAGCUGAAUGCUAGAGGACGGUUUAGAAGUAGAUUAUCAGUCCUAAUCCGUACAGCGACGCUUUGUCCUCAUUGGUUGAUGCCUUUGAGAAUCAUGUCAGACGAGGAAUCGAGCAGCAUUAAUCAUUGGUAUUGGCGCUUUGAGGUAACGAAGCUGAGGAAAGAUUAGGGUAAGCUGGUAGUUUAUUUCUAUUUCAACCUUUAGCUGCUUGUCA